UUUCGCAAUGCCCGAAAGGGUGACGAAGCGACGCCGCGUGAGCGAAGAAGGCCUUAGGGUUGUAAAGCUCUGUCAAGGGUUAUGAAAUAUAGAUGAGUUAAUACCUUAUCUAUUUGACAAAGGCCCAAAAGGAAGUCACGGCUAACUCUGUGCCAGCAGCCGCGGUAAUACAGAGGUGGCAAGCGUUGUUCGGUAUUAUUGGGCGUAAAGAGCACGUAGGUGGUUUUGUAAGUCAGGUGUGAAAGCCUUCUGUUCAAAGGAAGAACGGCAUCUGAAACUGCAGAUCUUGAGUGUAGGAGGGGAGAGUGGAACUUCUGGUGGAGCGGUGAAAUGCGUAGAUAUCAGAAGGAACGUCGGCGGCGAAAGCGACACUCUGGCCUAUUACUGACACUGAGGUGCGAAAGUUAGGGAGCAAACGGGAUUAGAUACCCCGGUAGUCCUAACCGUAAACGAUGGGCACUAAGUAGAGGGGUUUUA
rnacentral:rRNA from 1 species